rnacentral:lncRNA from 1 species
CCCAAUUAACUGAAUUUUAGAUAAACCACAAUAUUAAGUGAAGCUGCUUGUGGCCAACUUUGCUGGAUAUAUCCAUUUACAGUUGGAGAGAAUGAGGGUGAUCUAUAAAAGGAGCUGAGAUAUCAACUGACGUUUAUCUACAAGGAUUUUUAUCAGGGUUGUUUGAAACCAGGGGUCAGCAAAAUUGUUUCGUGACCAGUCAAGUAUUGCCGUGACCCUCAGGUUGAAGGUCACAUAACCUGAGCAUGCCCAGAUGAACCAAGUGUGCAGCCAGAGGGGGAACCUAAGGGCUUGGACUGACGAUCGGGGGACUGAAUUAAGAAGUGGACAUGGCAGGACCCAGGAUCCAAUCAGGUCAAUCCCUAGCAUCAUCUCAUGGAAGGAUCCAAUCAGAUCAUGCCUCCCAGCAUCACUUCAUUGCAAGAUCCAAUCAGAUCAUGCCUCAUUACUUCAUGCCUAUAAAACCUGACCCAGCCCUCUGUUUAGGAGGCACUGUUUUAGGAAUUAUCCCCUGUGGUCCCCUUACUUGCUGCAAGUAAUAAAAUCCCCUUGUUAAGUC